rnacentral:tRNA from 1 species
GGGCCCGUCGUCUAGCCUGGUUAGGACGCCGCCCUUACGAGCGGUAUGAAUAUGUAUAGGCCCGUUGAGAGAGGCGGAGGUCCGGGGUUCAAAUCCCCGCGGGCCCA